AAAUUUUAUUAUUUUUUAUGUUCCUGUGAGGUCCACUUCCAACAAAUAGUGGCUGCAACUUCUAUGGUGUCCAACACACCAACAGAAAGAAAUUUACUUUCCCUUUCACCAAACAGAAGAAAGUAGAAUUUUGUUAAAGUUCAAAAUUUUGAGUUAGAUCCAUCUUUCAUCUUCAAACCCUUCAUUUGUUUCUGCAGAUUCAACUCACAACUCACAACUCAAACUCUCUCUCUCUCUGCUGAUCUGAUGAACCAGCUAAGUGCUACUACAAUUUAUGAGUAGUCAAAAUUAAUUUUCUUCAAUUUUUCAUUUCAUGGUCAAAACUUUAAUACCCAUUUGACACUUUUCUGGAUAUUCCGUAUUUGAUGGUAAACAAAAGAUACUAGAAUACAAGCAUUAAAUGCUUUUCUAUAUCUGAACAAUAGAAAUCUUGACUCAGAUUUUGUCAAUUGGGACAACAACAAGUCAACAACAACCCAUUAAUCUUAUUUUUCAUUUUUUUUACUUCAGGGUAUAAAAAAGACAGUAAUUUUGAUAUUGAUUGUUUUUAUUUAGUAAUAAAAACAAUCAAUAUGACAAAAAGUUUUGUUUUUUCUUUCUGGGGUUAGGGUAUUUUUGAGUUUGGGGGUAGUAGUGGAAUGUGAACAGUAGGUAGAAGCUGCUUCUAUAUUU
rnacentral:lncRNA from 1 species